rnacentral:rRNA from 1 species
UGUGCACCAGUCGAGAAAACUUUGCAAUAAGCGAAAGCUUGACAGGGCUAUCCCGAGUGCCAUCCGCUGAGGAAGGCUUUUACCCAGUCUAGAACGCUGGGGGAAUAAGGAGAGGGCAAGUCUGGUGUCAGCCGCCGCGGUAAUACCAGCUCUCCGAGUGGUGUGGAUGUUUAUUGGGCCUAAAGCAUCCGUAGCUGGCUAGGUUAGUCCCCUGUUAAAUCCACCGAAUUAAUCGUUGGAUUGCGGGGGAUACUGCUUGGCUAGGGGACGAGAGAGGCAGACGGUAUUUCCGGGGUAGGGGUGAAAUCCUAUAAUCCCGGGAAGACCACCAGUGGCGAAGGCUGUCUGCUAGAACGCGCCCGACGGUGAGGGAUGAAAGCUGGGGGAGCGAACCGGAUUAGAUACCCGGGUAC